AGCGUACACGGUGGAUGCCCUGGCAGUCAGAGGCGAUGAAGGACGUGCUAAUCUGCGAUAAGCGUCGGUAAGGUGAUAUGAACCGUUAUAACCGGCGAUUUCCGAAUGGGGAAACCCAGUGUGUUUCGACACACUAUCAUUAACUGAAUCCAUAGGUUAAUGAGGCGAACCGGGGGAACUGAAACAUCUAAGUACCCCGAGGAAAAGAAAUCAACCGAGAUUCCCCCAGUAGCGGCGAGCGAACGGGGAGCAGCCCAGAGCCUGAAUCAGUGUGUGUGUUAGUGGAAGCGUCUGGAAAGGCGCGCGAUACAGGGUGACAGCCCCGUACACAAAAAUGCACAUGCUGUGAGCUCGAUGAGUAGGGCGGGACACGUGGUAUCCUGUCUGAAUAUGGGGGGACCAUCCUCCAAGGCUAAAUACUCCUGACUGACCGAUAGUGAACCAGUACCGUGAGGGAAAGGCGAAAAGAACCCCGGCGAGGGGAGUGAAAAAGAACCUGAAACCGUGUACGUACAAGCAGUGGGAGCCUCUUUAUAGGGUGACUGCGUACCUUUUGUAUAAUGGGUCAGCGACUUAUAUUCUGUAGCAAGGUUAACCGAAUAGGGGAGCCGAAGGGAAACCGAGUCUUAACUGGGCGUUAAGUUGCAGGGUAUAGACCCGAAACCCGGUGAUCUAGCCAUGGGCAGGUUGAAGGUUGGGUAACACUAACUGGAGGACCGAACCGACUAAUGUUGAAAAAUUAGCGGAUGACUUGUGGCUGGGGGUGAAAGGCCAAUCAAACCGGGAGAUAGCUGGUUCUCCCCGAAAGCUAUUUAGGUAGCGCCUCGUGAAUUCAUCUCCGGGGGUAGAGCACUGUUUCGGCAAGGGGGUCAUCCCGACUUACCAACCCGAUGCAAACUGCGAAUACCGGAGAAUGUUAUCACGGGAGACACACGGCGGGUGCUAACGUCCGUCGUGAAGAGGGAAACAACCCAGACCGCCAGCUAAGGUCCCAAAGUCAUGGUUAAGUGGGAAACGAUGUGGGAAGGCCCAGACAGCCAGGAUGUUGGCUUAGAAGCAGCCAUCAUUUAAAGAAAGCGUAAUAGCUCACUGGUCGAGUCGGCCUGCGCGGAAGAUGUAACGGGGCUAAACCAUGCACCGAAGCUGCGGCAGCGACGCUUAUGCGUUGUUGGGUAGGGGAGCGUUCUGUAAGCCUGUGAAGGUGUGCUGUGAGGCAUGCUGGAGGUAUCAGAAGUGCGAAUGCUGACAUAAGUAACGAUAAAGCGGGUGAAAAGCCCGCUCGCCGGAAGACCAAGGGUUCCUGUCCAACGUUAAUCGGGGCAGGGUGAGUCGACCCCUAAGGCGAGGCCGAAAGGCGUAGUCGAUGGGAAACAGGUUAAUAUUCCUGUACUUGGUGUUACUGCGAAGGGGGGACGGAGAAGGCUAUGUUGGCCGGGCGACGGUUGUCCCGGUUUAAGCGUGUAGGCUGAUUUUCCAGGCAAAUCCGGAAAAUCAAGGCUGAGGCGUGAUGACGAGGCACUACGGUGCUGAAGCAACAAAUGCCCUGCUUCCAGGAAAAGCCUCUAAGCAUCAGGUAACAUCAAAUCGUACCCCAAACCGACACAGGUGGUCAGGUAGAGAAUACCAAGGCGCUUGAGAGAACUCGGGUGAAGGAACUAGGCAAAAUGGUGCCGUAACUUCGGGAGAAGGCACGCUGAUAUGUAGGUGAAGUCCCUCGCGGAUGGAGCUGAAAUCAGUCGAAGAUACCAGCUGGCUGCAACUGUUUAUUAAAAACACAGCACUGUGCAAACACGAAAGUGGACGUAUACGGUGUGACGCCUGCCCGGUGCCGGAAGGUUAAUUGAUGGGGUCAGCGCAAGCGAAGCUCUUGAUCGAAGCCCCGGUAAACGGCGGCCGUAACUAUAACGGUCCUAAGGUAGCGAAAUUCCUUGUCGGGUAAGUUCCGACCUGCACGAAUGGCGUAAUGAUGGCCAGGCUGUCUCCACCCGAGACUCAGUGAAAUUGAACUCGCUGUGAAGAUGCAGUGUACCCGCGGCAAGACGGAAAGACCCCGUGAACCUUUACUAUAGCUUGACACUGAACAUUGAGCCUUGAUGUGUAGGAUAGGUGGGAGGCUUAGAAGUGUGGACGCCAGUCUGCAUGGAGCCGGCCUUGAAAUACCACCCUUUAAUGUUUGAUGUUCUAACGUGGACCCGUAAUCCGGGUUGCGGACAGUGUCUGGUGGGUAGUUUGACUGGGGCGGUCUCCUCCUAAAGAGUAACGGAGGAGCACGAAGGUUGGCUAAUCCUGGUCGGACAUCAGGAGGUUAGUGCAAUGGCAUAAGCCAGCUUGACUGCGAGCGUGACGGCGCGAGCAGGUGCGAAAGCAGGUCAUAGUGAUCCGGUGGUUCUGAAUGGAAGGGCCAUCGCUCAACGGAUAAAAGGUACUCCGGGGAUAACAGGCUGAUACCGCCCAAGAGUUCAUAUCGACGGCGGUGUUUGGCACCUCGAUGUCGGCUCAUCACAUCCUGGGGCUGAAGUAGGUCCCAAGGGUAUGGCUGUUCGCCAUUUAAAGUGGUACGCGAGCUGGGUUUAGAACGUCGUGAGACAGUUCGGUCCCUAUCUGCCGUGGGCGCUGGAGAACUGAGGGGGGCUGCUCCUAGUACGAGAGGACCGGAGUGGACGCAUCACUGGUGUUCGGGUUGUCAUGCCAAUGGCACUGCCCGGUAGCUAAAUGCGGAAGAGAUAAGUGCU
rnacentral:rRNA from 1 species